rnacentral:rRNA from 1 species
GUCUAUGGCCAUGCCACCCCUGAACAAGCCCGAUCCCGUCUGAUCUUGGAAGUUGAGCAAUGUCGGGCCUCGUUAGUACUUGGAUGGGAGACAACCUAGGAAGACCUAGGUUCUGUAGGUG